AUCUUUCGCAAUUGACGAAAGUCUGACGGAGCAACGCUGCGUGAGUGAUGAAGGAUUUCGGAUCGUAAAAAUCUGUUGUGAGGGAAGAACAAGUAUCGGAGUCACUGCCGGUACCUUGGCGGUACCUUACGAGAAAGCCACGGCUAACUACCUUCAAGCAGCCGCGGUAAUGCGUAAGUGGCAAGCGUUGUUCGGAUUUAUUGGGCGGAAAGCGCGCGCAGGCGGUCUUUUAAGUCUGAUGUGAAAUCUUACAGCUUAACUGUAAGCGGUAAUUGGAAACUGAGUGACUUGAGUGCAGAAGAGGAGAGUGGAAUUCCAUGUGUAGCGGUGAAAUGCGUAGAGAUAUGGAGGAACAACAGUGGCGAAGGCGACUCUCUGGUCUGUAACUGACGCUGAGGCGCGAAAGCGUGGGGAGCAAACA
rnacentral:rRNA from 1 species